UACGUAGGGUGCAGGCGUUAAUCGGAAUUACUGGGCGUAAAGCGUGCGCAGGCGGUCUAUUAAGUCAGGUGUGAAACCUCCAGGCUCAACCUGGAGACGCCACCUGAUACUGCUGUGGCUAGAGUCCGGUAGGGGAGCGUGGAAUUCCUGGUGUAGCGGUGAAAUGCGCAGAUAUCAGGAGGAACACCAACGGCGAAGGCAGCACUCUGGGCCGGUACUGACGCUGGAGGAGCGGAAAGCGUGGGGAGCAAACGGG
rnacentral:rRNA from 1 species